rnacentral:pre_miRNA from 1 species
AUAGCCCGUCGCCCCCGCGAAGGCGGGGGCCGCUGGAGGCUUGUCCGGCGGUGAAGUGCGAGUCCGGCAACGGCCCCCGCCUUCGCGGGGGCGACGAUAUCC